rnacentral:rRNA from 1 species
CCUACGGGUGGCAACAGUCGAGAAUCAUUCACAAUGGGGGAAACCCUGAUGGUGCGACGCCGCGUGGGGGAAUGAAGGUCUUCGGAUUGUAAACCCCUGUCAUGUGGGAGCAAAUUAAAAAGAUAGUACCACAAGAGGAAGAGACGGCUAACUCUGUGCCAGCAGCCGCGGUAAUACAGAGGUCUCAAGCGUUGUUCGGAAUCACUGGGCGUAAAGCGUUCGUAGGCUGUUUCGUCAGUCGUUUGUGAAAGGGGCGGGCUCACCCCGCGGACGGCCCAUGAUACUGCGAGACUAGAGUAAUGGAGGGGGAACCGGAAUUCUCGGUGUAGCAGUGAAAUGCGUAGAUAUCGAGAGGAACACUCGUGGCGAAGGCGGGUUCCUGGACAUUAACUGACGCUGAGGCACGAAGGCCAGGGGAGCGAAAGGGAUUAGAUACCCCUGUAGUC